AUUGAACGCUGGCGGCAUGCUUUACACAUGCAAGUCGAACGGUAACAGGUUAAGCUGACGAGUGGCGAACGGGUGAGUAAUGCAUCGGAACGUGCCCGGUCGUGGGGGAUAACGCAGCGAAAGCUGCGCUAAUACCGCAUACGAUCUGAGGAUGAAAGCGGGGGACCGUAAGGCCUCGCGCGAUCGGAGCGGCCGAUGUCAGAUUAGGUAGUUGGUGGGGUAAAGGCUCACCAAGCCAACGAUCUGUAGCUGGUCUGAGAGGACGACCAGCCACACUGGGACUGAGGCACGGCCCAGACUCCUACGGGAGGCAGCAGUGGGGAAUUUUGGACAAUGGGCGAAAGCCUGAUCCAGCAAUGCCGCGUGCAGGAAGAAGGCCUUCGGGUUGUAAACUGCUUUUGUACGGAGCGAAAAGGUCUCCUCUAAUACAGGGGGCUCAUGACGGUACCGUAAGAAUAAGCACCGGCUAACUACGUGCCAGCCGCCGUCGUAACAC
rnacentral:rRNA from 1 species